rnacentral:rRNA from 1 species
CCUACGGGUGGCAGCAGUGAGGAAUAUUGGUCAAUGGACGAGAGUCUGAACCAGCCAAGUAGCGUGAAGGAUGACUGCCCUAUGGGUUGUAAACUUCUUUUAUAUGGGAAUAACACAGGGUAUGCAUACCCUCUUGUAUGUACCAUAUGAAUAAGGAUCGGCUAAUUCCGUGCCAGCAGCCGCGGUAAUACGGAGGAUCCGAGCGUUAUCCGGAUUUAUUGGGUUUAAAGGGUGCGUAGGCGGAUUUUUAAGCCUGCGGUAAAAUGUCCGGGCUCAACCCGGGCCGGCCGUUGAAACUGGGGAUCUUGAGUGGGCGAGAAGUAUGCGGAAUGCGUGGUGUAGCGGUGAAAUGCAAAGAUAUGAGGAGGAACAUCGGUGGCGUAAGCGCUUUACUGGGCCGUAAUUGACGCUGAGGAACGAAAGCCAGGGUAGCAAAUGGGAUUAGAUACCCGUGUAGUC